GGCGAGUGAAGCGGCAAAAGCUCAAAUUUUUGAAAUCUGGUACCUUCGGUGCCCGAGUUGUAAUUUGGAGAGGGCAACUUUGGGGCCGUUCCUUGUCUAUGUUCCUUGGAACAGGACGUCAUAGAGGGUGAGAAUCCCGUGUGGCGAGGAGUGCGGUUCUUUGUAAAGUGCCUUCGAAGAGUCGAGUUGUUUGGGAAUGCAGCUCUAAGUGGGUGGUAAAUUCCAUCUAAAGCUAAAUAUUGGCGAGAGACCGAUAGCGAACAAGUACAGUGAUGGAAAGAUGAAAAGAACUUUGAAAAGAGAGUGAAAAAGUACGUGAAAUUGUUGAAAGGGAAGGGCAUUUGAUCAGACAUGGUGUUUUGUGCCCUCUGCUCCUUGUGGGUAGGGGAAUCUCGCAUUUCACUGGGCCAGCAUCAGUUUUGGUGGCAGGAUAAAUCCAUAGGAAUGUAGCUUGCCUCGGUAAGUAUUAUAGCCUGUGGGAAUACUGCCAGCUGGGACUGAGGACUGCGACGUAAGUCAAGGAUGCUGGCAUAAUGGUUAUAUGCCGCCCGUCUUGAAACACGGACCAAGGAGUCUAACGUCUAUGCGAGUGUUUGGGUGUAAAACCCAUACGCGUAAUGAAAGUGAACGUAGGUUGGGGCCUCGCAAGAGGUGCACAAUCGACCGAUCCUGAUGUCUUCGGAUGGAUUUGAGUAAGAGCAUAGCUGUUGGGACCCGAAAGAUGGUGAACUAUGCCUGAAUAGGGUGAAGCCAGAGGAAACUCUGGUGGAGGCUCGUAUCGGUUCUGACGUGCAAAUCGAUCGUCCAAUUUGAGUAUAGGGGCGAAAGACUAAU
rnacentral:rRNA from 1 species